rnacentral:rRNA from 1 species
AGAGUUUGAUCCUGGCUCAGGAUGAACGCUGGCGGCGUGCUUAACACAUGCAAGUCGAACGGACUCAUAUUGAAACCUAGUGAUUUAUGAGUUAGUGGCGGACGGGUGAGUAACGCGUGGAAAACCUGCCGUAUACUGGGGGAUAACACUUAGAAAUAGGUGCUAAUACCGCAUAAGCGCACAGCUUCGCAUGAAGUGGUGUGAAAAACUCUGGUGGUAUACGAUGGUUCCGCGUCUGAUUAGCUUGUUGGCGGGGUAAUGGCUCACCAAGGCGACGAUCAGUAGCCGGCCUGAGAGGGUGAACGGCCACAUUGGGACUGAGACACGGCCCAAACUCCUACGGGAGGCAGCAGUGGGGAAUAUUGCACAAUGGGGGAAACCCUGAUGCAGCGACGCCGCGUGAGUGAAGAAGUAUUUCGGUAUGUAAAGCUCUAUCAGCAGGGAAGAAAUAGCGACCUUUGGGUCGCCAGACGGUACCUGAUUAAGAAGCCCCGGCUAACUACGUGCCAGCAGCCGCGGUAAUACGUAGGGGGCAAGCGUUAUCCGGAUUUACUGGGUGUAAAGGGAGCGUAGACGGCAGCACAAGUCUGAAGUGAAAUGCCGGGGCUUAACCCCGGAACUGCUUUGGAAACUGUGCAGCUAGAGUGCAGGAGAGGUAAGUGGAAUUCCUAGUGUAGCGGUGAAAUGCGUAGAUAUAGGAGGAACACCAGUGGCGAAGGCGGCUUACUGGACUGUAACUGACGUUGAGGCUCGAAAGCGUGGGGAGCAAACAGGAUUAGAUACCCUGGUAGUCCACGCUGUAAACGAUGAUUACUAGGUGUUGGGGGACCAAGGUCCUUCGGUGCCGUCGCAAACGCAUUAAGUAAUCCACCUGGGGA